GCCAGAGUAGCUCAAACGGCAGAGCGCUCGUCCGGCAUGCGAGAGGUCUGUGGAUCAAUUCCCGGUUUGGCU